CCUUCCCGCCCGCGGCUCACUCUCCACGGUGAGUUUGGCCUGUGUCUUGUCAUCCGGCGUCUCGCAGCCAAAGAAGCCACGGUCGGCAAAACCUACGUUGUGCAGAACCAGGCGGUGGCGGGCGCCCUCGGCGUGGAUCUCCACGUUCUUUCCCGGCGCCAGGGCCGUCGCGUUCCGUGUCCACCUCAGCUCCGGCCACGGCCGCGUCAGCUCCACCUCCAGGGUCACCGAGCUCCGCUCCUCCACCGUCUGCGGCUCCAGCUUCUUUUUGAACAGCACAGGCGCCUCUGGGGUCGCAGGAGAGGGGAGGUCACGGCGGCCCUCGCCCUCCUCCACGGACAAGCCAAGGUGCAACUGCAGGAUUGUAUCUUCUCUAUACCAAGAGAAGGCACCUGGCCCAUCCAGCCUACCGGAGUCUCCUCUCUGCAGCCCACACACCCCGUGUCUCCUGAGGUCAGCCGGACCAGCCGUAACAGGACAGCAGUUCCAGGUGCCCACUCAGAACCAGCCCACAGGGGAGGUGCCUGUGCAAGGAGCCCUGGCCAGCCAG
rnacentral:lncRNA from 1 species